rnacentral:sRNA from 1 species
GGGCCCCAGCAGGGAGCUCGUAUGCCGCUCGUGCCUGAAGCAGACGCUGCACAAGCUGGAGGCCAUGGAUGCGCAUCCUGCAGGCAGAGACCACCGCGGGGACCGUGACGCCCACCGCCAUCGGAGACAGCAUCCUCAACAUCACAGGAGACCUCAUCCACCUGGCCAGCUCAGACGUGCGGGCACCACAGCCCUCAGAGCUGGGAGCCGAGUCACCAUCGCGGAUGGUGGCGUCCCAGGCCUACAACCUGACCUCUGCCCUCAUGCGCAUCCUCACGCGCUCCCGCGUGCUCACGAGGAGCACCUGACGCUGGCGGGCGAGGAGAUCGUGGCCAGGGCAAGCGCUCGGACCCGCGGAGCCUGCUGUGCUGUGGCGGCGCCCCAGGGCCUGGCUGCCACUUCUCCAUCCCCUAGGCUUUCAGCAGGGCCCUGGCCAACCUCAGUGACGUGGUGCAGCUCAUCUUUCUGGUGGACUCCAAUCCCUUUCCCUUUGGCUAUAUCAGCAGAACUACACCGUCUCCACCAAGAUGGCCUCGGAUGGCGUUCCAGACACGGCCGGCGCCCAGAUCCCCAUCGAGCGGCUGGCCUCAGAGCGCGCCAUCACCAUGAAGGUGCCCAACAACUCGGACUGGGCUGCCUGGGGCCACCGCAGCUCCGCCAACUCCUUUGUGGUCCAGCCCCAGGCCUCCGUCGGUGCUGUGGUCACCCUGGACAGCAACAACCCUGCGGCCGUGCUGCAUCUGCAGCUCAACUAUACGCUGCUGGACGGUGCGUGUCAGUGGGUGGGGCACACGCGGCUCCCUGGCCUUGUUCUUGGGGGGAAGGCCUUUCUCGGUAGGGCUUCCAUGGGUGUCUCUGGUGAAAUUGCUUUCUGUUUCAUGGGCUGCUGGGGGCCUGGCCGGAGAGGAGCUGGGGCCACGGGAGAAAGCAGGCCGCUACCUGUCUGAGGAAUCCGAGCCCUACCUGGCAGUCUGUCUGCACUCGGAGCCCCGGCCCAAUGAGCACAACUGGUCGGCUAGCAGGAGGAUCCGCCCAGAGUCACUCCAGGGUGCCGACCACCGGCCCUACACCUUCUUCAUUUCCCCGGGGAGCAGAGACCCAGCGGGGAGUUACCAUCUGAACCUCUCCAGCCACUUCCGCUGGUCGGCGCUGGAGGUGUCCGUGGGCCUAUACACGUCCCUGUGCCAGUACUUCAGCGAGGAGGACAUGGUGUGGAGGACAGAGGGGCUGCUGCCCCUGGAGGAGACCUCGCCCCGCCAGGCCGUCUGCCUCACCCGCCACCUCACCGCCUUCGGCGCCAGCCUCUUCGUGCCCCCCAAGCCAUGUCCGCUUUGUCUUUCCUGAGCCGACAGCGGAUGUAAACUACAUCGUCAUGCUGACAUGUGCUGUGUGCCCUGGUGACCUACAUGGUCAUGGCCGCCAUCCUGCACAGCUGGACCAGUUGGAUGCCAGCCGGGGCCCGCGCCAUCCCCUUCUGUGGGCAGCGGGGCCGCUUCAAGUACGAGAUCCUCGUCAAGACAGGCUGGGGCCGGGCUCAGGUACCACGGCCCACGUGGGCAUCAUGCUGUAUGGGGUGGACAGCCGGAGCAGCCACUGGCACCUGGACGGCGACAGAGCCUUCCACCGCAACAGCCUGGACAUCUUCCGGAUGGCCACCCCGCACAGCCUGGGUAGCGUGUGGAAGAUCCGAGUGUGGCAUGACAACAAAGGGCUCAGCCCCUGCCUGGUUCUGCAGCACAUCAUCGUCAGGGACCUGCAGACGGCAACGCAGCACCUUCUUCCUGGUCAAUGAACUGGCUUUCGUGGAGACGGAGGCCAACGGGGGCCCUGGUGGAGAAGGAGAUGCUGGCCGCGAGCGACGCAGCCCUGUUGCGCUUCCGGCGCCUGCUGGUGGCUGAGCUGCAGCGCAGCUUCUUUGACAAGCACAUCUGGCUCUCCAUAUGGGACCGGCUUGCCUCGUACUGUUCACUCGCAUCCAGAGGGCCACCUGCUGCGUUCUCCUCAUCUGCCUCUUCCUGGGUGCCAACGCCGUGUGGUACGGGGCUGUUGGGUGACUCUGCCUACAGGACGGGGCGUGUGUCCAGGCUGAGCCCGCUGAGCCGUCGACACAGUCGCUGCUGGCCUGGUGUCCAGCGUGGUUGUCUAUCCCGUCUACCUGGCCAUCCUCUUUCUCUUCUGGAUGUCCCGGAGCAAGGUGGGCUGGGAGCCCGAGCCCACACCUGCCGGGCAGCAGGUGCUGGACAUUGACAGCUGCCUGGACUCGUCCAUGCUGGACAGCUCCUUCCUCACGUUCUCAGGCCUCCACGCUGAGGUGAGGUCUCUACUGGGGGUCCUGGGCUGGGCUGGGGGUCUUGCCACCUUGGCGCAGCUUGGACUCAAGACACUGUGCACCUCUUAGCAGGCCUUUGCUGGACAGAUGAAGAGUGACUUGUUUCUGGAUGAUUCUAAGAGUGACCUUGAGGAACCCUGGGAGCUCAGGAAGGAAGGAGCGCCCAGAAGCAGGGACAGGGAGCUGGUUGGGGAGGACCAGAAAUCAGGUUAUCAAUACUCUGGCUGACCUUCGUCAUCGUGGGACUGACUUUGGUGGAAGUCUUUGGUUACUUAUCAUUACUGUGUUUCGAGAAGUUAUAAAUUUGCCAUCUCCCUCGCACAAGUUACCUUUCUGUGUCUUUCCUGAAGACUAUCUUCCUCUCAAAAUGGACAUGAUGGAUCCACGGAUGUACAGCAGAGAGCCAGGAGGUCCAACCGCCGUAGACAGGAAGGAAUUAAAAUUGUCCUGGAAGCCAUCUUUACUUUAUGGAGACAGGUGAAACCAAAGUUCGAGCUAAAAUCCAUAAGAUGAAGGUGACAACAAAAGUCAACCGUCAUGACAAAAUCAAUGGAAAGAGGAAGACCGCCAAAAACAUCUGAGGAAACUAAGCAUGAAAGAACGUGAGCAUGCAGAAAAGGAGAGGCAGCUAUCAGAGGCAGAGGAAAAUGGGAAAUUGGAUAUGAAAGAAAUACACACCUACAAGAAAAUGUUUCAACGUGCGCAAGUUGCGGCGGCGGGCAGAGGACUACUACAAAUGCAAAAUCCCCCCUUCUGCAAGAAAGCCUCUUUGCAACUGGUGCACUUACAAUUUGGUAUUACCUGGGAGUGAAAAGAAAUAUUACAGCCUAACUGACUUCUUGAGGUCAGAAUGGCGGCAGCGGAGCAUCGUCAUUCUUCAGGAUUGCCCUACCGGCCCUACCUCACAGCUGAAACUUUAAAAAACAGGAUGGGCCGCCAGCCACCUCCUCCAACUCAACAACGUUCUAUAAUUCAUAGCACUGAGCCUCAAGACACCUCCCAGUGUCUGCUCCAUCCCCUUCCACCCUCAGCUCCACCCUCAGUGGAUGAUAAUCUCAACCCUCCCGAGUGUGUCUCUAUCCCCUCCACCUCAGCUCCACCCUCAGUGGAUGAUAAUCUCAACACACCUCCCGAGUGUGUGCUCUAUCCCCCUCCACCCUCAGCGGAUGAUAAUCUCAAGACAACUCCCGAGUGUCUGAUCACUCCCUUCCACCCUCAGCGGAUGAUAAUCUCAAGAAACUAACAAAGAAUAAAUAAAUAAUAUAAAAAUAAAAUGAA